GCUGUUUAGACUUGGUUUUGGACGCUCACUGGGGUUUCACGCUUUUUGUUCUUUUCUCGCGGCAUGACAUUCGUUGUCUUCCAUCCGACCCAGGAGGGGCCCCAAUGUGUGUUCGAUGCCGCGUGCCAAGCCAGACGGACGGCACUGCCUGAACGGUGUUUCCACAACAAAGCUUGGCACCAUGAGGGCGUCGCCGGUGUGGAUUUGAUGCGGGGCCAGAAAUCAUGCCCCCCAGUCGCAGAGUGUUGCUGGCGCUGAAGACGGGCAGGCGGGAGCCGUUCUCUCUGCACAUCCGGGGCAGCAAGUUAAUCUUCCGGAGCGUCAUUGCCCUGGACAGAGAUGCUGGGUCUCGCUGAGCAGCGGGAAUUGGCACCCAAGCGGUCUUCCCUCACCAAUCUUGACUACCUCACCACGAACAGAAGCCAUCAGGACCCGACGAACUUGGGCGCCAUGCUGAGGUCCUCCUACUACGCUUGGGGGUUCAGAGGGUCCUCCCACUACGCUUCGGGGUACAGAAGGUCUUCACGACAAAGACGACGACGGACAGGCAACGAGAACCAAAGCAUGUAUCCCGAGCUGUGGGUUGGUUGCGACUGCGUGUUGUCCUGCUCCGGCCGUUUCGAGCGAUCUGAUCGGCUCGCUCAACGUCUCCGUAGCUACCGAAGGAUUUGCGGCCAUGUCUGCGUCCGUGUGUGUGUGUACUUGUGCGAUCUGUGUGUGGACAUGUUUCACUGCUGUGAACGCUGCAAGGACUCUACAAGGACAUCUGAACCGCUAGCGUGUCGACGCUGCAAGGACAUGACGGCGGACACGGGGCACUUCUCACCGAGUCUGUAUGACGUCCACGUCUCUGCGGUCUCCAUGUCCGUACGGUGAGUGGAGGAGGCUCUGUAGCGAGCAACUUUUUCCAGUGGCUCAGCGCAGGAGAGUCCAGGCUGUCAGCGUCGUGGCUUAAUUUAGCGUCUGCAGCACACGCGGCUGACACUACGUCGAAAUAGAAAGCAUUGCAUAGUCAUCGUUUUAAAAUGCGACGGCAUUUGUAGGUCUACCGAACUCUGAGGUACAGUCACCAACCGGCUUUUCAGACUUUGCAGAAACCAAAUAAAAAUCCGAAUAGUAGAACAGUCCGAAAAAUUGGCAGAUUAAAAAACUUGCUUUUAUCGCGUCUAAGCGGGCUUAAAAAAGUCGUCAACAGUGCCUUGCUUCGGGUUAUUCCUUCGCGUGCGUUCGGCCACUUUCUAUUAGCUUGAGAAUUGCUGCCUUCUUUUCUAGCGUUACUGUUGAGUACCUUCCGUGCUUCUUAGCGACCAUUCGCGGCGGUGAAAGAACAAAUGGGGCCAUGACGUCCGAGUCAAUGUAGUCCGAAAUCCUGAUUCAUCGAGACGAGAGAAGAGGCACAGGCCCACGACUUCAGAAUAGGGUAUGAACGAAGCAAAAUGGUAGCAAUGAUAAGGACACGCAGCUGGAGAAAAAAAAUAUUUGUGGCCUAGCGUCACCUUGCGGUAGGACUUGGCAGUAGUCGAGUAGCGCUGCCAAGCCGAACCAAUCCGUGUGCAGCCAAGAUAGAAUCUAAAAUGGCGGCUUCUCAAUGGUGUUUCUUAGUGAUUGCUCGCGACGAUUUUGUCAGAAAAAUCAAAGUUUCGGUCUUCAAGCUGUCCGAAACGUCGGUCGUGAGUGCACACUAUUUCCAUCGGUUCCCCUUUAGGUCCGAAAUACCAAACAAGUCCGAAUUGUCGGUGUCAGUAAAGUCGGUUGGCAACUGUAUGGUGCGCAUCUGUCCGUUGGGGCUCGAUAGCUAUGUUUAGCGGGCAGACCUGAAUCGCCGUCGUAAGUCGUACGUCUAAUAAAUUUCCCUUCUAAAUUAGCGGGAAGCCUUUUUCCCCGCUAAAUAUAGCUGGAAAACCUGAAUUUUUAUGGCUGUGCACCAAUUCAAUUUCUGGCUAAAUUUUAUGAGAAAACCUCGGUUUGGUGUAUAAUUAUACAGCAAUUCAGUUUAGAAAGAGUUGGCAGGAAAACGGCGCCGUACCGAGCCAGACUGAGAACUCCCACCUCUAGGCAUGCCCGAAGGCACGCUGAGGGCCGCGAGUUUCCUUCGGCAACAGCCCAACAAAUAAUGCGUAGUUCUUUUUGUGCGUAUGUGCGUUUUAUAUAAUUAAAUAUGCGGGCUAAAAAGAACAAAAGAAAGCUUCAAAUGCGAACGUGCUCAAUGCGGUGCACCAGAAUUGCUCCUUUCAUGUUGGUCGGUUCAGAGUUGUUGGAUCGGAUCAGUGGGUCUUUUCUGAAUGGCGGGCCGGAUGCGUGCGAACCGGCUGCGAUGAGCCACGGAAUUUUGCUAUAACCAACCGGGUGGCCGAGAAGGACCCAGGAAUGUUGCUGCAAUGUUAUUUGGAAACGUCGCUCGAAUGCUACCAGCUGCCCCACCCCCAACGAAGGCCAGGUCACACCCGUGGAGUGCGACCUGGCCUUCUCCUGCAGGCGCCGUUCCGGUCCGUCGGCUGCUUGCGGUCGCGCUUGGGCCGCCGGCCAAAUGCUUGUGUCCGCGUUGCGAGCGUGAAAGCGUCUUGCAUUAGCAAAGUCAUAUUAGAUGCGCCGUAAACAAUCUGCAACGCCAUGUAUAGGACGGAAUCUGCCGCCAGAGCGUCGGGAGGCGUAUGGCAGCCGAUGUCGGAGAGCCGAUUGGGCCAUCGGAUGACCAGCGCACGUUGUCUAAAAAUAUGAAGUUCUAUCAUAUUGGGAGAUAAAGUUGAUAACUCAAAUCAAAAUUAACUGUUGGGCUAGUUGGCUACACAUUGAUAACUCGGCCUGGUGGAAUCUUAAAUCGUUUCGUUUGAUCAUAAUUUCUGUCCUGCAAUCCUGUAUGUUGGAAACUGAAAACGAAAAAAAAGAGGAAAAAUGAACAAUAAUGCGGGCUGGAUCUGGCCACACUGGAAUCGCCGGAAUCGCUUUCAAUCGACCGGAACUGUGGAAGCCGUUGAGUGGCUCCGGCCUGAUUUGAAGUCGGAUGCCUCGGAUCGAGCGCAGGUUAAAGUCUUAGCCACCUGAUUGACACCAGACAAGACCGAAGCUGACCUUGAUCCUACAUUUUUGUAUGCGUGCACUCGAGAGGGCGACGAAAGAGUUCAGCUUGUGUUGAGUAAAACCUUUUUGUUAAUAGUGAUACGGUAAUAAUUGUACAAUUUGCGGUCCUAAGGAACGAAUAAAAUACACCUCCAGGGGGGAAGGGGGGGUAGCGUGACGUUACACCCCCCCCCCCUCCUGCCCAUGCACACGCUCACUGAGUCUCACAUACCGACUGGUGCUUGGCCCUUCAUCUUCUGCGCUGCUCGGUUUGCAUCCUAAAUAAAAAUCUG